UACGGCCAUAAAACGUUGAAACCCCGGUUCUUGUACGAUCAGCAAAGUUAAGCAACGACGAGCCCGGUCAGUACCAAGACGGGUAACCGCUUUGGAAGAGCAGGUGCUU